rnacentral:rRNA from 1 species
UACGGGGGUGCAAGCGUUAUCCGGAUUCACUGGGUUUAAAGGGUGUGUAGGCGGGCUGUUAAGUCAGUGGUGAAAUCUCCGGGCUCAACCCGGAAACUGCCAUUGAUACUAUCAGUCUUGAAUCUUGUUGAGGUAGGCGGAAUAUAUCAUGUAGCGGUGAAAUGCUUAGAUAUGAUAUAGAACACCGAUUGCGAAGGCAGCUUACUAAACAAGCAUUGACGCUGAGGCACGAAAGCGUGGGGAUCAAACAGG